CUGCCGCUAAUCGCUGCGCAAUGGCCAAAUGGACAAAUGAAAAUUUUGAGAAAGUGAAGAAAAUUGUUAUAGAGAAUCGUCGAGUCACAACUAGAGAAAUUGCUGAGAAUGUCGGCAUAUCGGUUGGCUCAUGUCAAGCAAUCUUUUCGGAAAUUUGGGGCAUGAAGCGUGUGGCAGCGAAGUUCGUUCCAAAAUUGCUGAAUUUCUACCAAAAACAACGUCGCAUGAGCAUCGCUCACGAAUGGUUGAAUGACGCCAACGUUGAUAUAGAUUUGCUUAAAAGGGUCAUAACUGGUGACGAAUCAUGGGUAUGGAUAUAUGACAUCGAAACCAAAAGCCAAUACUCCCAAUGGAAGAGUCAAGGAAAGCCUAGAGUCGAUAGCAGAAAAUCGCCGAAAACGCAAAACACUUGUCUUAUUUCUGCCUCUCACAAACAAACUAAACGUGCCAUAUUACUGAAACCGUGAACAUAUCUUCAAGACAGGUGUACCAACAUAAAAAAAUUUAAAUCGAAAGUCGAAGAUCAUUGCCGGAAAUUGAUGGCCUGAGCAAGGAAACAGUUCUCACAUCCUGGAUGGCAAAAUUUGACAUUAUACUUAAAGGUACCGGCGAAGAAGACUCAAAACGACCCCCACGAAUGCAACAAUCUCUGAACAGUGAAUUGAUCUUGUCAAAGGAGCAAUUAUAUGAUAUGUUCCAACAGAUAGUAAGCGUUAAAAAAUUUGAACAUCAAAUACUUUUCAACGCAUUAAUGCUGGAUUCAGCCGAUGAACAAGCAGCCGCAAUUCGUCGCGAACUAGACGGCCGAAUGCAGCGAGUUAGUGAAAUGGAAAAAAACCGAAAAUUGAUGCCUAAGUUUGUGCUUAAGGAGAUGGAGUCUCUUUAUGUUGAAGAGUUAAAAUCGUCUAUAAAUCUAUUGAUGGCGAAUUUGGAAUCUUUACCAGUAUCUAAAGGAAAUAUGGAUAGCAAGUACGGAUUACAAAAGCUCAAACGCUAUAAUCAUAGUACUCCAUCAUUUCUUAGGAAGAUGGUAUUGCGAUCACAUGGAUCACUUUCAAAAUUGGAAGGGGACACAGAUGAGGGUAUAACGCAACUGACGAAAUUAGAUGUUGUGCUCACUUUUCAACUGGAAGUAAUCGUCAUGGAAGUAAAGGGACUUAAAUCGCUAGCUCCUAAUAGAAUAGUUUAUUGCACUAUGGAAGUGGAGAAUGGUGAAAAACUGCAAACGGACCAGGCUGAGGCUUCGAAACCCAUGUGGGACACGCAAGGAGAUUUUACAACGACGCAUCCUCUACCUGUAGUCAAAAUAAAGUUAUAUACAGAAAACCCUGGAAUGUUAGCGUUUGAAGAUAAGGAACUGGGCAAGGUCACAAUAAAACCAACCCCUCUUUCAUCGAAAUCUCCUGAAUGGCAUCGAAUGGUUGUGCCUAAAAAUCUGCCAGAUCAAGAUUUACGAAUUAAGAUUGCAUGCCGUCUUGACAAGCCUCUAAACAUGAAGCACUGCGGUCAUCUUCAUGCAAUUGGCAAAUCAGUAUGGAAAAAGUGGAAGAAACGUUACUUUGUUUUAGUACAAGUAUCCCAAUACACGUUUGCGAUGUGUAGUUACAAGGAGAAGAAGUCUGAGCCAUCGGAAAUGAUGCAAUUAGAUGGGUACACAGUUGAUUACAUUGAAGCGGCGAGUGCCAAUUUAAUGUUUGGGAUCGAUUUAAAUGGAGGCCGCUACUUUUUUAACGCUGUUCGAGAGGGUGAUAGUAUUGCAUUUGCCUGCGACGACGAAAACGAAUGUAGUCUCUGGGUAAUGGCCAUGUAUCGGGCAACGGGGCAAUCGCAUAAACCCACUCCUCCAGUGACCCAGGAUAAAAACUCAGCAAUUUCAAAAAUUCAAGGCGGAUGCUGGGAUGAAAAUUAAAAUUUAUUAAAACCAACCAACCAACCUGCCUACCUAAUGUUAGUCGUUACGACUACUAACUAUACCGCGUACCUAACAUAUCAAAAAUAUCAUUAGCUAUGAAGGGGUAAGAUCGUAAUUUGCUCCAAUGAUUUUAAAAAAGGAACUUAAAAUGUCUUGAUACUCGAGAAAGAACAUUGCGGAAAUGGGCUAGGACCCGUAAUCAGUUUAACUAUAAAUAAGGGUGAUCAGAUUGGAGGUAAUUUUUCCAAUAGGGUUCUUUGACAGAUUGGGCGUGGCUACUGUCAAACUCAAUAUAUAAUCUUUUUCAGUAUUCAUUGACAUUUUAGCAAGGAAAGACUUUCGUCUCAACAACGUUUACAAAUCCUACAAUUGUACAAUAUUACGAAAAUCGACACUCUUUGAAAAGUGUUCAUCGCGCGCUCAGGCCAAGGUAUGGUGGUGUUCAGCGAUAAGGCCAAUUUUUGGCUCAAUGACUACGUCAAUAAGUAAAAUUGCCCUAUUUGAGUUGAAGAGAAACCCGAAGCCAUUCAAGAAGAACUCAUACAUACCUUAAACACAAUAGUUUGGUGGGGUCUAUGGGCUGGAGGAAUUAUCGGCCCAUAUUUCUUCAAAGACGAGGCUGGCGUCAAUGUAGCAGUGAAUGGCAAACCGUAUCGCCUCAUGAUAAACGACUUUUUAAUGCUGGAAAUUGAAAACCGUGAUCUCCACAACAUUUGGUUCCAAAAAGACAGUACUACUUGCCACACAUCCCGUGAAACAAUUGAUGCAACGUCGUUUCGGGGUAUAUAAAGUCUAAAUGCUUUGUGGAUAAACCAUCGUCGAUUGAGCAGGCAUUGGAAGCCAACAUUAUAAAGUUAUUCCUGAGAUACGGACCGAAGUGCUCCAGCGAGUCAUUUAAAAUUGGCCAACAUUUGAAAGGGAUUAUAUUAAAAAAACAAAUGUCAUGAAUAGUCCUACACAAAAAUAAUGAAG